GUGGGGAAUAUUGGACAAUGGGGGGAACCCUGAUCCAGCCAUGCCGCGUGUGUGAAGAAGGCCUUUUGGUUGUAAAGCACUUUAAGCGAGGAGGAGGCUACCGAGAUUAAUACUCUUGGAUAGUGGACGUUACUCGCAGAAUAAGCACCGGCUAACUCUGUGCCAGCAGCCGCGGUAAUACAGAGGGUGCGAGCGUUAAUCGGAUUUACUGGGCGUAAAGCGCGCGUAGGUGGCCAAUUAAGUCAAAUGUGAAAUCCCCGAGCUUAACUUGGGAAUUGCAUUCGAUACUGGUUGGCUAGAGUAUGGGAGAGGAUGGUAGAAUUCCAGGUGUAGCGGUGAAAUGCGUAGAGAUCUGGAGGAAUACCGAUGGCGAAGGCAGCCAUCUGGCCUAAUACUGACACUGAGGUGCGAAAGCAUGGGGAGCAAACAGGAUUAGAAACCCUGGUAGUCC
rnacentral:rRNA from 1 species